rnacentral:misc_RNA from 1 species
UUAAGUUCAGCGGGUAUUCCUACCUGAUCCGAGGUCAACCUUGGGUAAAAUAAGGCUUUUAACGGCCGGAACCCGCAGCACGCCCUGAGCGAGACGUAAACUACUACGCUCGGGGUGACAGCGAGCCCGCCACUGGUUUCAGGGCCUGCGGCAGUCGCAGGUCCCCAACACAAGCCGGGGGCUUGAUGGUUGAAAUGGCG